rnacentral:rRNA from 1 species
CAGUAGCCGCGGUAAUACGAAGGGGGCUAGCGUUGUUCGGAAUUACUGGGCGUAAAGGGCGCGUAGGCGGCCAUUCAAGUUAGAUGUGAAAGCCCUGGGCUCAACCUAGGAAUUGCAUUUGAUACUGUUUGGCUUGAGUUCGGGAGAGGUGAGUGGAAUCCCCAGUGUAGAGGUGAAAUUCGUAGAUAUUGGGAAGAACACCAGUGGCGAAGGCGGCUCACUGGACCGACACUGACGCUGAGGCGCGAAAGCGUGGGGAGCAAACAGGAUUAGAGACCCCGGUAGUCCCUGUCUCUUAUAC